rnacentral:lncRNA from 1 species
AUGGGGAGGCUGGUGACCGCAGGAAGCGACAGAGGAGGAGGUGCUGUGUGUCGUGGUUUGCAGCUGCUGGUUCUUGCCAAAAAAAAAUUGUGCUUGGAUUUGCCUCAGGGAAUAGUUUGCUCAAAUGUUGAAAGGAAGAAAAAAAUUCAAGAGGUCUCAGUGGGCAAUGCAGGAAUCCACCCUGCCGGACUGCUGCUCUGACUCAUACACACAU